UGGAGAUGGGGGAGCGGUGCACAACCUAGCAAGGAACCCGGAUUUUAGACUUAGGGAGACACGUGUCUACUGGUGGUUGUCAUUGUCUCACCGCCCAAUUAUGUGUCUACCCAGACAACAGAGAUGCCCUAUGUCUGAUUUCCGUCAUCUUCCCAUUGCCCAGGAGAGCAUCACACUGUAGUAAGGGCUCAGUAAGUACCCAGAACAUGUGCACAGAGGCUCACACGCUGCUCCAGACUUAGCAGCUUUGUGGCUUUAUGUGCUUUUAAAAAAAGAAAAAGAAAAAAAAACCCAUCGCUUUUUCUGAGUUUGUUCCAUUCAAUUUGGUUGCAAAAUGUGUGCGACCAUGCAGAAGAGUGGUUGGCACAGCCUUGUGCUUCAUAAACGUUGUCAACAGUAAGGUGAAUUAUUCGGGGGUGAGUAUUCUUUUUCUAUUUAUUCAGCUACUAUUUGCCGAAUGUCAGAUUAGGGCCAGCUACUGUUCUAUGAGGGGGGACUCGAAGGGUCUGUAAUAUUAUGGUUCUUAUACUCCAGUGGCCAAUGUGCUAUGGGGAUCCACCUGUUUCCACCUCCUAAGUUCUGGGAAUAUAAGAACAUGCCACUAUGCCUGACAUGUUUUCUUUUUUUAAACAUGGAUUUUGGAAUCACAUGGAUUUUGGAAUCAAACACAGGGCUCCAUGUCUGCAGAACAUGCACCUGACUGACUGAGCUGUCUCUACGACCUCAAAGUUUUAGACUUUGCGAUUGUCUUUUCUUUUUUUUUUUUUUUAUAAUUGUUCACAUCACGGCAUUUUGCCUGCUCUGUGAGUUAUGUGCUUGUCACUAUCACGUCCAUUCAGCAGGCCAGGGAGCUAAGGCCCAACAAGGCAAUUUGCCAAAUCCAGACGGUUUGUGACUCGUGGACAAUCGAGGAAGACCAUUUCCAAACCUCAAAGCUUUUCUGCCUACAUUGUGUAGCGUCCCUAAUGGUUUGAGCAGAAAGGGGACCCAGUCAGCACUGCAUAUCCACACCAACUCUCCUGGGCUUUGAGGUCUCCCUUUUUCCUUCUCCCUCCCCUUUCCUCCCCUCCUCACUCUCCACUUCCCUUCUUUUCCUCUCUCUCCUCUCCCAUUGUGUUCCUUCUCUCCUCCCCUCCAUUUACUUUCUCCCUUCCCCUUUCCUCUUUCCCUCUCCCCUUCCUUCCCUCCAUUCCCUUUCCUCCCCUCCUCCUCCCCUUUCCACUUUCAUUCCCUCCCCCUUCCCCACUUUCUCUUCCUCUCUCAUCCUGUUCCUCUCCCCUGUCCUCCACUUGUUCCCCCCUCCCCUUCCUUCCCCUCCAGUGCCCUUCCCUCCCCUCCUUCUUUUCUCUCUCCUCCCCUUCCUUCCCCUCCCCCUCCCGUGCCCUUCCUUCCCCUCCUUCUCUUUUUCUAACCUCCCCUUCCUUUGCCUUUCCUUUCCUUAUUUAAUUUUCUAUCUUUUAACUUUCGUUGUACGAAUUGAAGUCUGUGGUUCCCGUCCCAAUUAUACACUGCUCUAAAGUCGGGUUUUAUUCUUUUUGACAUACCGUCCAUUUCUUACCUUGCAUGUCCAUUAAUCAAGCUUAAGUAGUCUUGGAGUUCCCUUUGUGCAGCUAGAAUUUGGAAGGUGGUGAAGUAUCAGUCUUCCAGCUUUCAGCACCAUUUUCCCCAGAUAUAAACCAACUCAGCGAGAAAGUCUACUCUGUUUGCCAUGUGAGGGUGUCUAUUUCCAUGAUCAAGAGGAAUGUGGUCCUUAAUUCUAUCUCUGUGUGGGACAAAGGAAAGAGGUGAUCUUCAGAAUAAACUCCUCUGAAGACAAUCUUAUGUUAGCAAUUUGGAGCUUAGAAACAACAUGUAAGCUGCACAUAGAUCAACUGUGGGGUUGAAUCUUGAUGCUGGCAGUCACGUUUUGUCCAAAGUCACAAGGACCAAUAUGUUACCUGCCGCAUCAAAGCUGAUGUUCCGGGGCUGGGGAUUUAGCUCAGUGGUAGAGCGCUUACCUAGGAAGCGCAAGGCCCUGGGUUCGGUCCCCAGCUCCGAAAAAGAGAACCAAAAAAAAAAAAAAAAAAAAAAAGCUGAUGUUCCAUGCAAACCCUUGGGAAAAAGGUUGAGAAUCUUUGACCUGCUAAACUGUCAUUGGAUUGGAGAUUUUAUUACCUUUUCUUUCUUUUUUUCUUUUUCCAGGCAACAUUGAUGAUUUUUCUCUGAUGUUGUGGAAGCCAUGGGAAAAUGGGCUCAGAAGAAUCCCCACACUGUGAAAUGCGAGUCAGUCUUGGUUAGGAGGAGAAAUGUGACCCCUGUGAAUGAGUUGUUUGACGUCCUAAGGGGAUACAACCCACAGGUUGAGAACAACUGCCUCAAGAACUACAACAGCCAAGACCAACCUGAUGUCAGACAUAGCGAAGAAGGCACGGCCCCCUUUCCUACCAGUUUUUGGGUGUUUGAAUUUAAUCUGCAACUGCCAGCUACCCAGUCUCAGGCAAAUGACAUUACACUGUACCAUUGCAAAGGGAUCUGUGGCAUAAAUAAAUGUAUCGGGAGGUCAAGAGGUCAAGAGCAUAAACGAGGCAAAGAUUUCAAAGAAAUCACCGACCAAAUGAUUUAUAAAUCAUGGAAAACACUGCUCCGGCCAUAAAAGAGAAAUUAAAUUUAUACAUCAUGAGCUUCAGGAUGCCUUGGGUUCUGAUCUACAGGAAUGCCUGACCCGGACAUGAUGGCCUGUGCAUAAAACUAAAGUGGUUUCAUGGGGCUCUCGCAGAAAACACCUUCGAUUUGGAACGUCACUCAUGAGCUAAGCAGAUGGGAAGUGGCGAAUGAUACUUGCGAAUGGCCCGCAGACUUUGAAACGGAUUUAUGUCUUUAGGACAUAACUGAUAGAGACUUGAAAUUGGGGCUAGUUUUAAAGUUGUCCUAGGAACAGAUUUUUGCUAAUCUACUAAAUAGAAACAAUAUGCUAGUUUCUAGCUUGACGUGCAGAUGGCUGGUGAUGACAGAGGACCCUUUGCUCUCAUGAUCCAAAGUUAAACUGCAGCGAGGUGUGUCCUGUCUCUCCUUCCCAGUUUUCUGUCCUCCCUCCCUUCGUUUUUCAUUUACCCUCCCCCCUGUAUACUAUUUAAAAAAAAAAUCCCCACUUUGGCUUUUAAUUAUUUGAGAGAAUAAGGCCUUUGGGUCAAUAUGUGUUGGGUCAUGUAUUUUGAUUUUUAAAAAUGGUACAAGAUACAGUUCACUAAAGCCCUAGAGAGAAGGGGAAUGGGGGGAAUUGUAUUUCCUCCCCCCCUUAAUGUUUUUUCUUUGCUCAUCUUCACCUAGGCAUAUGUUAAAGAAGAUGUUAGGAACAGACUGCCCAAGCAUAUUCACUUACAUCAUCAAAACUGGAUUGCAAGUCACCUUGCUUGAGGACUGUCCUCUGCAAUAUCCCCUCUCCGUUUCUUUGUAACUAGGGAUUUGGGUGAUUAUGGGUGGGGUCGGAAUCCAGGUACUUAAGUUGGUUGGGAAAAUUCCCACAUGAAAAGGAUGCUCUGUGUUUCCUGCCUUGGACCUGUCCUGAAUCCCCAGAGGCCCAGCCAUUCUUGGAAUUAUUUCUUUCUCCAAAGAAAUCAAAUACACAAAGUUGAACGAGUUAAAAUGAGUAUCACUUGUAAGCUAUACCUGCUUUUUAUUUUCCUUUUUUUUUUUUUGCCUAUUUUCUUUGCUUUUGCACUUUAAAGAAAAGCAAACGUGAAAAACAUGGAUAUUUUUUUUUGCAAAGAUUAUGUAUAACCCUGCACAUACUUUUGGUGGUUUUAGUAGAUGUUCUCGUAGCAAUUGAAUUAAACCGAGUCCACAUUGCUAUGCAAUCAAAGGCAGAAUAGGAUUUUGGUAUCUUAGCCAAAAGAUAGGGAUUAUGUGUUUGAGGGGUUGGGUGCUGCACCAGGAUGCACGUUCAUUUGCAUACGUGGGGAGCCAUUAGGAAUUCUGAAUGGUUUCUCUUUAGCCUACUUAGUUGUACUUGUAAUUGCUUCCCCAGUGUACCGUGUUUCCAGUGUUUUCAAAUACACACGAGUCUCUCAGAGUUGGUCUUAAGCAUUGGGUCUAUGAGGAGAAUGUAUCUCUCGGCUCCUACUAAAACACUUGGCUGAGUUUGUUACAUCUUAAAAUUUUAUUUGUUUUCCUGGCAGGGAGCAAUCUGUUUUUUACCAUUCUUGCCUUUUCUGGUCUGUUGGCUUUUGAUCAUAUUGCAUGGUGUUUUUAACCCCAAGAUAUAUCGAUACAUAAACCUGUAAUCUUGACCCUGCAAGCAGAGAGGGGGCUGAGGUAACAAGGAAAAAGGUUGUAGGGUGUGGCCCAUGCAUUAUUCCAGAGCUGUAAGGGACUCACCCAUGAUAGAGGGAGUAGCCUUAGGCUGUGAGUUUAAGCUGAGAGUGAUCUAGUAACACUGGUCUGACCAGGAAAAGCAACCCCAUCUCUGUAAAUUUCUCUAAUUGCUUUUUAUCCUUCAUGCUGAAGAUUGAACCCAGGGUCUUACACGUGACAAAAUAAGCUCUUUACCACUCAGUCAGAAACCAGCCCUUUUAAUUUUUCUGAUAUAUAAUUUCUUUUAAUACUUUCUGACUUAAGACAUCAGAUCUAAUUCACCAGGGCCUGUUUUAAACAGCAGGGAAGAAUCUCUUACAGUUAGUGGAUCUGGUUCUGAAGACUGAGAUUUAAGGGUUCUUUCUAUUCUAUUUUUUAUUUUUGUUACAGUGGUCUCAGUAUGUAGUCCUGGCUAUUCUGGACUUCACUAAGAAGACCACUAAGCUAGGCUUACCUUGAACUCUCAGAGAUCCACCUGUGUCUUCCUCCCAAGUGCUGGGAUUAAAUAAAGAUGUGUGCCUCCAGGCCUAGGACUUAAGAGUUUUUGAUAUUCUGUUUUCUGGUUUUGUCUUAACAAAUGCUACCUCUAUUUCCUGCUGUUGCGCUGACAGUCCUGUGUAAUGUAUAGCAACAGAAUUGACAACCACUGUCUCUGAGGUUAAGAGUUCAAAUCCCACCUCAGUCAUUUACUAGCUGUGUGAUCUUGUGCUAAUAAUUCAAUCUGUCUGUGCCUCCACAAAGGUAGAAGCACACACCAUGUGCUAUGACUAUGAGGCCUAAGUAAGGGCCUAAGUCUAGGCACAGCGCUGGUACUUCUUCAGAUCUAGCUCCUAUUGGUACUAUUACGGGGGUUUAGCAUCUUGUUUAGGCCAUGCUUUUUCCAUGUGGCAGAUGGGGCCCUCUCAUGCUAACAUGGUUAACAUUAGUUAAGCAUAAAUUAAAAAUAAUUCUCCUGUGUCCGUGCUCUUUGGUUCCCCCAAAGUGAAUGAGUAAAUUCACUGUCACAGGCUGGGGGUGGGACUAGGGGCAUCGGUCUGAGCACCGUGAUUUUAUGAUUCAGAAAAAAAAAAAAGGAGACGCAGAGUGAAUUUCUGACGUGAGGGAAGAGCACUGGAUUUUGAGUUGGAUGAUAUUCCAACCCCCCAAAAAGUAUGACCUUGGGCACAUCGUGUGUCCUCCCAGAAUCACAUCAGCCAAAUGAGAAGAGGAGUGAUGAGCCCCGCUCUGCACGUUUCCCAGGGUUGAUGAGAUCCAAUUAGAGGAA